rnacentral:rRNA from 1 species
UACGUAGGGUGCGAGCGUUGUCCGGAAUUAUUGGGCGUAAAGAGCUCGUAGGCGGUCUGUCGCGUCGAUCGUGAAAACUUGGGGCUUAACCCUGAGCUUGCGGUCGAUACGGGCAUGACUGGAGUUCGGCAGGGGAGACUGGAAUUCCUGGUGUAGCGGUGAAAUGCGCAGAUAUCAGGAGGAACACCGGUGGCGAAGGCGGGUCUCUGGGCCGAUACUGACGCUGAGACGCGAAAGCUCGGGGAGCGAACGGG